GACGAACCGUGCGAACGUUGUUCGGAUUCACUGGGCUUAAAGGGCGCGUAGGCGGGCUCGCAAGUCAGGGGUGAAAUCCUCCGGCUCAACCGGAGAACUGCCUUUGAUACUGCGGGCCUAGAGGGAGGUAGGGGUCGACGAAACUUCCGGUGGAGCGGUGAAAUGCGUAGAUAUCGGAAGGAACGCCGGUGGCGAAAGCGGUCGACUGGACCUCUUCUGACGCUGAGGCGCGAAAGCCAGGGGAGCAAACGGG
rnacentral:rRNA from 1 species